GAGAGUAGAGCUCAGUGGUAGAGUGCAUGCCUAGCAUGCAUGAGGUCCUGGGUUCAAUUUCCAAAUACCUCCA
rnacentral:tRNA from 1 species